UACCCUCUCGCAGGACCCGGUCAAGGUAGGCCCGAGCAGUGGGCGGCAAAGCAGCCUCCACCUCCUGUAGUACGUACCGGGGAGUACAAGGUCUGGAGAGCCCCAUACGCCGCGCAAGUGUCGGGGGAUCCAUCCAGUCUCCCCGGUCGUAGUCCAGGAGGUCUCCGACCCUGGUACUUUGUUGGGUGUAUCUAUUGGGUUUCCGGGAAUUAGGCAGGCGAAGCCCGCCCACCGUUAAAGAAUCCUCCCCCAGCCUAAGGGGAGGAACCACAGGGCCACAGAACCCACUGAGUUCGGGGGACAACUAAUAAAAGAACAGGGACAGGAGUGAGAUCAAAGGGUCAGAAGGAGGGAACCUGACGGGGACACCGAGCAGAGAACCCCGGACAGCGCCCACUGCUCCUCGAAGGUGUCAAGGGAGCCAGUGGACGCCGCCCAGAGGAACUCCGCCCAGAUGCGUGAUCGGACCAUGGAGCGGAAGCAAGCCCCACAGUCACCGGAGUCUACAUCGGCCAACCUCCCCUCCCUGGUCGCGUGGAUGGCCUUUUUUGCCAGGGCGAGGAGGAGGUUGACCAGGAGGUCCCGGGACUUCGUGGGGCCAUGGAUAGGAGUGCGUACAGAAGGAGCAAGGGGAAGAAAAAGAAGCUCUCCUUCAAGCUGGAGUCAGAAGGACAACAUAAGGAUGACUUCCUGAGUUCCGGCUCCAGUCCUUUGCUCUGCCCGCUGACCUAUCGAAGGGCUACCAUCACUUUCUCCAGGUUCGCCCAUCGGUGUGUUCAGAAUGGAGAGGGGUAACUAGUGGUGUUCCCCAAUGAAAGGCCUCCAGGAUGCCUGCCCAGCCCAGCAAAAGUGGCCAGGAGAAAGUCCACAAUGCUGCUCUUUCAAGUAAUUGAAGACUGCUAUCAAAUCCCCCCUCACUCAGUCAGUCCUCAGUCUGUGGCAGUGCAUAGGAUUCUUCUGCUCUAAGUGCAGGACUCUGCACUUCUCCUUGUUGAACCUCCUCAGAUUUCUUUUGGCCCAAUCCUCCAAUUUGUCUAGAUCACUCUAGACCCAAAUCCUGUCCUCCAGCGCUUGGAUUCUUUACAUGCUUUCACAGAGCGAAGUGCACACGUUCCAUGAUUUCAUAGGGCAGAUUUUUGUGCUAUCGAGAGCUUUCCCUGUGUGAAUUUGACAGGUGGAUCAACAUAGAGACACAUUGUGACCCUUCUCAGGGUACUGAGGACUGUGAGUCUCCUUGUUACCACCUGCCACAAGGAAGAGGGACUUUUGCAUUUGGCAGCUGGAUGUUAGUGACCAAACUCACCAGCAUGCUGGAACUCAAAGACCCUCCUCUGAGCUACAGCAGCCACUCUAACCCCUGACUUCCUUCAAUGUGUCCUCCUCUGGGGUCCAGCCCAGAUCACCAGAUACUCGGUGAAAUCCCAGAUCCUCUCUUCCCGAAGUAUCCCAAGAUACUAGUUUUACCGUGGACCAUUGCUACUGUAUCUCACACAGCACUUGAGUACAGUUAUUGAACAAGCAAAAAAUUUAUUUAACAACGGAUAGAGAUUUAAACAAACAAAUGUGAGUGAUGGAAACCAACUGUUACCAAUGAAGGGGAAACCACUCCCUUGCCAGAAGUGGCUUUACCAAUAGAUGGAACCUGGGAUUUAAACUCUAAAUGAUCACACUGUAUUUGGAAUCCGGUUGAAUUCCCCUUCCAGGUCUUUGACACUUUCAUCUCCAGUCAUAGCGACUCUGAUAUAGGAUUAAAAAGUCAAAACAUCAUCUCCAAGCACAGAUAAUGGAGAAUGCUUCAUCACAUGACACUUUGAGAAGUGGAUGGAUAGAAUGUGAUGAAGAUAAACUCUGCGUGGCUCAGGCAAAAGGUAACAGUUCUGCCGUGAUGGGGAAGGAGGGAAUCUUUGAGUCACCUCAUCUCCUUCCAGUGCCAUGUAAGCUGAAAUGACACUUUUUUCCUGCCCCAGCUCCUCUUCAUUUACAUCUAAUUUGAAAAAUUCCCAGUAUAACUGCUUUUCAGCACAACCCAGAGCAACAUGAGAACAACUGGCAAUGAUACAAUCUGUAUCACUGGUGACUCUAACAAUAACUUUGCAAUAAGAGGAAUGAUAUUAAUGUGAUGCUCCCUGGUUCCUCAUAGGAAGGGCACACUCAAAUUACUUGUGAGACAAUAGAAAGGACAAAUAGGUCCAUCUCAAAAGAGGGUGAACUGCAAAAGGCAAAAAUGGACCACUCAUCUGGACAAGCUGAGGGAUAACGGUGCUGCACACAGUUCAAAGAGCUUUAAAAGUUACUAUGUGGGAAUCAGGAAAAGUAUUAAAGAAGAGAAAGUUUUGACAGCCCUAAAGAUUUUUACAAUGUUGCUCUCCCUUGCAGAUUCUCUGAUGGCUAGCAUGGGAUGAGCGCCA